UACGAAGGGGGCUAGCGUUGCUCGGAAUCACUGGGCGUAAAGCGCACGUAGGCGGAUCUUUAAGUCAGGGGUGAAAUCCUGGAGCUCAACUCCAGAACUGCCUUUGAUACUGGAGAUCUCGAGUCCGGAAGAGGUGAGUGGAACUCCGAGUGUAGAGGUGAAAUUCGUAGAUAUUCGGAAGAACACCAGUGGCGAAGGCGGCUCACUGGUCCGGUACUGACGCUGAGGUGCGAAAGCGUGGGGAGCAAACAGGGAUUAAGAAACCCUGGG
rnacentral:rRNA from 1 species